AUUGAACGCUGGCGGCGUGCCUAACACAUGCGAGUCGAGCGGUAACAGGUGUAGCAAUACAUGCUGACGAGCGGCGAACGGGUGAGUAAUGCUUCGGAAUCUACCUUAUGGUGGGGAAUAACUAGCCGAAAGGUUAGCUAAUACCACAUACGUCCUACGGGAGAAAGCAGGGGAUCGCAAGACCUUGCGCCAAAAGAUGAGCCGAAGUCGGAUUAGCUAGUUGGUAGGGUAACGGCCUACCAAGGCGACGAUCCGUAGCUGGUCUGAGAGGACGACCAGCCACACUGGGACUGAGACACGGCCCAGACUCCUACGGGAGGCAGCAGUGGGGAAUAUUGGACAAUGGGGGAAACCCUGAUCCAGCGACGCCGCGUGUGUGAAGAAGGCCUGCGGGUUGUAAAGCACUUUUAGUGGGGAUGAAAUGUGCAGGGUUAAUACCUCUGCAUUUUGACCUAACCCACAGAAAAAGCACCGGCUAACUCUGUGCCAGCCGCCGCCGUAA
rnacentral:rRNA from 1 species